UACAUAGGUAUACAUGUGCCAUGUUGGUUUGCUGCACCCAUUAACUCGUCAUUUACAUUAGAUAUUUCUUAAGGGUGGAAUUUUUUAACAAGCAGGCCAGAGUAAGGUUCUGAGAGUAAGAGGCAGAGCCAGCCUCCCUGCUGUCCUGCCUGAGAAGCUGGGGGCUGAGGUCUGAUGGAGGAAGACAGGACAGAGAGGGGCAGGAUGUCCAAGUAUCCUUUUGGAUGUAUCACAGCGAUGCCUGGUACCGGGCAGGGGCAGACCAUUUCUCCAAGGGCUGAUGCUAUUCUGAGAAGGUAUCUUGCCCACCCAACUAUCUCUUGGUCCCAGACUUGUCCAAUUUUCUUCCCAAUAACCAGCAGCCAACACCGUGCCCUCUUUGCAGUGAGACUGUACUGCAGUUGGAGAGAGAGCCCUGUAGGCAAUGCAGAGUAUUCCCAGGGUCACUCCCAAACAUUCAUUCAAGCAUGGCACUAGGCCAGGGCUCUGCAGAGAGAGAUACCCUGAGACUUCUGAUACCCUCUGGGACGAGAGUGACAGAUACCAGUCAAGGAUCUCACCAAUUCAUCUCCCGUGCCCCAAGCAGAUGUAAUUCAUGAUAUUCCUAUGUUCAACUGGGACACAGCCUCAGAAUCCUUCAUACUCCAAUCCAGCAGGCAGCCACGAAUGCCGAGAUCCAGAGCUGAGAUGCAACAUGCUUUCCACAUCUUCCCUGGGGACUUACAGUUUAAAACGGAUUCCCUGACACCAAUAACCAUGCAGCAGAUAUGCAGAUACCUCGAUAAGAAAGGUCUUUGUGAUUUAUAAUAGCAGAUAUAAUCAUUUACCCUGCCUAAAAGCUAAGGGUUUUUACCACACUGUGAGGUUUCGAAGCAGAGUAUCACAUGAUUCGUGUUCCUGAAUUUGACACUGGGGAAUCCUCAUCUGAGUUGAGGAGGAUAUAGCAAUCUUCAUUAGCCACUCUCAGGGGGUCUCUGCCCAGGAUACAGGAUCCGGACAGAGAACAAAGCAAAGAGGACCGAUGUCUCCAUCCUCGGUAGCAUCUCUCCAAUCUGCUCCUACCCCUCUGGCUCUCCUAAGCUCCCCUCAAGUAGGUGAUCAGGUAAAUUAUCCUCUAAACUAGGAAAGGUACUAUUAAUAAUUACAUCACAAUAACAGGUAAACCGGGAGGUGCCUCAGGCAAACAGGAAAGUAGGAUCCCCAUGCCCACAGGCCCUCUACUUUUGUAUGGGGAGGUGCAUCUUGUAUGCCGGAUGUGUGUGUAGGGGUGGGUGUGAUUUGGUGGGUGUGCUAUAGGGUGCUGAGCAAAAGCACAUCCUUCUCCUGCCUAGGGAUCAGUCCCUUCCUCAGCCCUGUGUCCCCUCUGGCUUCGCCUGCCAAGGCUCUAUCAGGUGUGAGAGUACGGAUCGAUGGAGCUCCUGGCUGAGCUGAUGAGGCUCCCAGGGACUAGAGCAAUUAAUUAAACCUCUUCCCAGCUCUCAGCACAAGCCCCGUGCCUCUGCCAGAGCCUUUUAACUGCCACUCGAAUGGGUAGCUCUUAAAAUCAACGUCCUUCUCUUAAAAUCAACAUCUUGCUCAGCAGUGCUAGGAGAGGGAGGCUGGAGAAGGCAUGGAGCUGCCCUGUCCAGCAGUCCCCACCUCCCAUUUGGGGCAGGUCCCAGGAAAUGCUUCCUUCCAAUAGCUUCUUCCCUGCUGUGCCCACUUUGGGAGUUUUUGCAGCUAUGAGAUUGUUGACAAAAUGCAGAUAGCCACACAUGGGAGACGCUUCUGAGAUCUUAGAGCCCAGCUGAAGAUCCCUGAGGGAAAGGGGCUUUCUGGACACCCAGGUUUCCUGGGAGGGGAAGGAUGUUCCAGCUCUGGUCUUGGCCGAUAUCACCAUGGAUGAACGAGACCCAGAUCUAGCUGCUACAGGCGCUGUGGGGCAUGGGACAGAGGACACACACAGCACUGGCUGUGGAGUCCUGUUGUGAGCAUCCCUGUUGAAAGAAGUAGGCAGGAGACUCUCAGGACCAAACAGAUAGAGCCCAAAUAACCUGGAAAUAAAUUGCAUGAAGAGCCCUGGGCCAGGCCUUCAGGAGCCAGGGCCCAGGGGAAUCGGGCUGUCCAGAGCAGCCUCUGUGAGAGCUGCUGGGGAUGCAAUGGUCUUAAAGCUGCCUCUUGACUCUGAGAUUCCAGACUUUGAUUCUGCAAUGGACUCAAACCCAGCAUCCAAUGCGGAACAAUAGCUGUGCUCUUGCCCUCCCUGACCCCACAGAGGGAUGCAGUGGCACAGUUCUGUCCACACAGCCAAUAACGCGAAAAUCACCUCUAUUUGGAAUGCAUUAGGAUUCCAAUUUACAACAAAUUUUCUUUCCUAAACUCGCUUGGCUUUGCAGACAUGUGUCUCUGACAGCAGAACGAGGGCAGGGCCCCUGUGUGCCAGGCCAGAAAGAGGGACCUGGCAAGGAGUCCUGAAUUUUCAGGUGAAAAAUCUGCUUUAGGCAAACUGGGAAUGAAUGCUGAUGUAACUUGGCGUGUAUGUGUGUGCGUGUGCACGUGUGUGAUGAAGGGUCUGUGUGUAUUGCGGGAGGCAGAGAUCCUGGAGACCCUGCCUAGUGACAGUAAUUGUGGGUGAUGAUGUCUGAUAAUCGGAUAAUCAUAUUGAUAACAACCAUCAUCUCCCUCACACUUCUGGUGGCCCAAUGAUUUCACCCAUCACUUUGGUUUGUCUUGUGCUUGGGCAGGUGCACUAGGGCCCCGUCUUACAGAUGAGGAUGCUGAGGACCAGGGAAGCCCAUUAAUAAGGUCCCACUGCUGGUAAGUGACAGACUAGGAUUGGAAGGCUGCUGUCUGUUUUUGGAGGCCCUAUGCUUGAUUGCCCCUGAAUCUGACACACUUGGGUGGAGUUGGGUUAAGCUAGGCCAGCUCCCAGAAGAAGUGGGUCUUAGCCCUGAUGAGGCUAAGGAAGCUGCAGUGAGGGUGGUGUCCCAUGUUCCCUUCACCACCCAGGGCUGUGAAUCAUCGUCCAGGCCUUGGGGAUGCAGGAUGGGUGUUGGAACAUAUGACAGCUUUGCACAUUUAUUUGUGCUCCUGACAACAUGAGCAGAGAAAGCUGCAGGCUAUAGACUUGCAGUCUGAGGGUCUGGGGUAGAUGUCCCAGUACUGCAUCAAUAUGGCAGCUCUGUCUUCAUUAAGGUCCUGGACAGGGGCAAGACCCAGCCUGCUAAGUGCACUGGGCUCUGGGGUCAUGGCUCUCUGCCAGGGCACCUCAGGCCAAGUCAAGGCAUGUGGAGGGUAGACUGGGCUAUGAGCAGCCAUGCCAGGGGCGCCAUCCUUGCUCCCUCUCUUUGAGAACUGCAGAAUUAGCUCCUGGUGGUGGGUGGUUGAGCCCAACUGCCGCCAGCUGGAUAGCAAAAGGGCAGCGGGCAGCUCCGUGGGCACCCCCCUCUUGGUGCGUGCUGAACUGUGGCAAACCCAGGUCUCUCAGGCUGGAGGAGAGCAGGCCUGCCUCCCUGUAAGAGUCCAGGGCAGCAGCUGUGGGACAGGGUGGUGUGAGGGGUUGGGAGGGGAGCUCGUAGAGAGUCAAGGAGGCAAAGGGCUGUGUCAGAUCUUCUGGCCAGAAGUGACAGAAGAUGCACCUCAAAAUGGCUUCAUGAAGACCAAAAGGGUGGGCAUGUCUCUCACUGGUUCCCUUGACUGAAAUACCUAUGCCUGGCCAAACCUGGGGCUCGAUGGUGGAAUCGAGAUUUGGUCUCUGGAUUUCUCAGUUCUGCUUCCUUCUGCACUGGUCUCUGCUCAGGCAGUUGGGGCAAGAUGGUGGCCCACAGCUCCAGCCCUGGGAAAAAAAGUGAGCUUCUCUUCCUCAACCAAUAAAAGCCAAGUUUGUGCCUGACUGAAGCACAUGGGCAUCCAUGAACCGGUCCUGUGCUCUGGGAGUCAGGAGUGGGGUCAGGUUCACAUGGGAUGUGAUGACGAUGAUGUGUCCUAAAGCUCAAGAACAGGAAUGAAGGCUGGGUGGCCCAAGGAACAGUCACCGACCAUGAACAGGAACAGUAUCAAUCUGGAUCGGCCUGAAAAUUCUUGGAUGGAGGUGUGUCCAGGAGAAGAGAGGGAGGGAAGGAGGGAGGAAGGUAUGCGUGUGUGGAUCAGUGAGUACUGCAGGCUCCCUUCAGAGACAGGGAGAAUUUAGCACCGAGCACCAGGGGGCAGCCACAAUGAGCCUGACAGGCCCUGUUCCCAGGAGGGCGUCAGGUGUGCGUCAUGGAGGUGUUGUGCACACCUGAGUGUGUGUGCAGGCGAAAGGGUGAACUUGCUCCCUGGAAACACCACCCCCAGACCUUUCCGAACCCCAUCCACAAUAACCAAUAUUUCUCUAGUGCAGUGGACACAAGGCUUUCCACAUCUCAGUCUCCCUGGGCAGCAAGUGAGGCUGAUACCAUUGGGAUCUCCGUUUUAACAGGUGAGGCAGGGCCGGUCAGCACUCGCUGCAGGUGAGUGGGCUGCCUUGGCUGCCUGGGUUGGAUUCUGGGCUCUGCUAUUUACUAGCUGUGUGACCUUCAGAUCACUUGCUCAACCUCCUUGUGCCUCAGUUUCCCCAUUUGUAAGAGGAGCUGAUAGCACUUUCCACACCAUGUGGUGAGGGUGAGAUAAGUUGGUGUGUGUGACCUGCUGAGAAGGCUGUUUUAUGUGUUGCAGGAAAAGAGACCUGGGCCGCGUAUCAGCCUUUUGGGCUCAAUCUCGUGGCUGAACCACUGCUUUCCACAGUCAGGUGCUGUGCAGCUCUGAAUAGACCUUUCCAGUGGAAGGCUCUAGGGCUCUCCUGUGGAUGUUCCUUCCUGCAACCUGGAGGGCACGCAAGUCAGAGGUCCUUUGGGGCCAGUGGGCCGGUGCUGAGCAGCCCACCCAGAUGCAGUUGAUGCAGUGGAACAUCCUAGAAGACUAGAAGACUACUGCGGCCUAGAAGACUACCGAGAUACUGGAAAGGAGAUGCCUUGUCCCCAAAAGACUGGGAGGAGUGGAACAUCCCAGCUAGCUCACUUUAGGCUAUUACUGCAAGAAAUUAAACCUAUAUAGUGUUAAACCAUAGAAAAUUUGGGGGAUGUUUGUUAUAGCAGCUGGUCUACCCUGGCUAAUACACUGCAUGUGGGGUGUGCUCUAAAAUUUCCAUCUCUUCACCAUACCCCAUAGUCUUUGAAAGAUAUUUGUAGGUCACUGAAGAGGCCAUUCUUUUCCCUUCCCUCCCUCUGUUUCUCUAUUCUCAAUUCUUCCUGUCUAGGAGUUCUGUAGUCACCUCCAAUUGGCCCUUCAGGUUCCCCAAUCCAGAAGCAGUUCCUAGGAAGGCAGCCCCAGGUUAUUGCCAUAUUCAUGGGGUUAUCAGGGUUAUGGCAGGUCCUAGGACAGAGGAAGUCCCUGCCCAUCACUUCCUCCAGGAAGCCUUCCCUGCACUUUUGGGUUACAAAUCAUCCUGUGCAUUCCCAUAGAAUAUUGUCAGUGAUGCCCACAUUCUUUGUGGCCUGCUGUAUGGUAACAUAUACACUCAGUACUCAGUUGUGGUUUACUUGUCUUACUUGUCACUCUUCUGUGGGAUCCUAAAGAAUUCCAUCACUUCUACUGUGAAGCAGCAAGAGCCAGACAUGCAGAUACCCACUGUGGGAGGCAGCUUCUGAUAUGGCCUCCGAAGAAGUACCCUCCUGAGAUUCAUGCCCUUGUGUCAUCCUCUCUCCUCCAGUGCGAUCCAGACCCACUGAGUUGCUUCUAGUGAACUGAAUACAGCAACAGUUCUAGGAGAUUAGGCUUUAAAAGACUGGGUUAUAUUCUCUCUUUCAGGCACUCUGUCUCUCAUUCUCCCUCUUGCUUGAUCAAGAUAUGCUCUUUGAUGAAGUAAGUUGCCACGUUGGAGAGGCCCAUGUGGUAAGGAACUGAGGGUGGCUUCUGACCACCAACCAGUAAGGAAAUAAAAGUCCUGAGUCCAACAACCCAUAAGGAAUGGAAUCCAGCCAACGAUCACAUAAUGAGGUUUGAAGUGGAUUGGCUCCAGUUGAGCCUUCAGAUGAGACCUCAGCCUCAGUUCACACCUUGAUUCCAGCCUUGUGAGAAACCCUGGCCAGAAGACCCACAAUAGAAAACUAAUAAACCAAUGAAGAAUAUUUUAAUGAAGGAAGGAAAAUUGGUCCUCAUUCAAGCAGUAAGGCGCUGUGGGAGAUAAGGAGCAGGCAGCUCGUGCCCUGCAGGCUGUGCAGGAGGCAGUUCCAUUGAGGGUCGCAUGGAGGGGCAGAGUUGGGUGCCACCUAGUUCACGAGGCCGCCUGAGGAGUCAGAGCUCCCCACACCGUCCCAGAUGCUGCUACUGAGUAGAACUCUGGGGUUCAAGCCCUGCUGGUCCCACACCAGGGCAAAAACAAAAUAUAAAGUAAAACAAAAUAAAGUAAAAUAAAAGCAAACAGAAAAAGUACUCCUGUGUG